UUCCAGCCUUAGGUCGGAGAUACUGACAGUCAUCCGCUUGCAAACAUAUGUUCGAUCUUCACCGGUUGGCUAUGUGAGUAAGCACUUUACCUUGAGAAAACAGAGUGUUCCAGGCAGGUUUGUCCGGGAUGCAUUAGCAUGGAAUAAUAGAACAUGACUGAAGUCGAUUUAUUGGUUUAAGGCUUUAGUAAUGAUUAAUAGGAACAGUCGGGGGCAUUCGUACUCAGCAGUCAGAGGUGAAAUUCUAAGAUUUGCUGAAGACGAACUAAUGCGAAAGCAUUUUGCCAAGGAUGUUUUCAUUAAUCAAGAACGAAAGUUAGGGGAUCAAAGACGAUCAGAUACCGUCCUAGUCUUAACUAUAAACUAUGCCGACUCGGAUUCAGAUGAAUCAAAAUGUUCAUUUGGGACCGUAGGAGAAAUCAAAGUCUUUGGGUUC
rnacentral:rRNA from 1 species